AGAAGAACCUCUUCUUCCACCUGGAAUUCCGGAUGUGGAAUUAAUGGAUGAGGUUGAGAAAUUGAAGCAGGAGAUCCUGAAAGCAACGGAAUCAACUGGGAAGAUUCCAGACACAGGCCUGAAUGAGAUGAUAGAAAAAUUAAGAAGAGAAAUUGAUUAUGAAUUUUCUGAGGCUGUUAAAGCUUUGGGUUUGGAGGAAAAACUUGUCAUGGCGCGAGAAGAAUUUGCAAAAACAAGGAACUCAAAUGACCAGUCAAUGCAUCCUGUUCUGAAGGAAAAACUUGACCAGCUUAAGGAUGAAUUCAACAGAAACAUUUCUGCUGCUCCAAAUUAUGCUAGCCUAACGAAUAAGCUUGAGAUGUUGCAAGAAAUGUCUAAAGCCCAGAAACUCUCAGGGAAAUAUAGCAAGGUAAACAACUUGAAGGAGGAGAUCAAUAAGAGGUUAAAAGAAGUCAUGAACCGCCCAGAUUUGAAGGAGAAGAUGGACGCAUUGAAGGCUGAGAUCAAGAGUACUGGUGUAUCGAGAGUCAUGGAUCUAGACCAGGGGAUAAAGGAUAAACUUGUGCAACUGAAGGAUGAAAUAUAUAUGGAAUUUUCUGGUGUUUUCGAAUCCCUAGGCUUAAACGUCAACCCAGCAUCACUUCCUACUGAUGCCAAGAGAAGAAUCAAUGAAUUUAACAAUGAAAUUGCAACGGUUAUGGAAGACCUCGUGAACUCCACGGAUUUGAAAAACAAGAUUGAGUUGUUAAAGAUGGAGGUAACAAAGGCUGGAAAGACAGCAGAUGCUGAGUCAAAGGCAAAAAUUCAGGCCUUAGAACAGCAAAUAAAGCAAAGUCUUGCACAGGCUAUGAGUUUUCCAGAGUUAAAGGAGAAACACGAGAAGCUGAAGGAAGAGAUUGUGGAAACCAUUGAAUCCCUUCAAGGAUCCAAUGGAAGUUUGCUAGCAGAUAACGGUGGUGCCAAUUCAGGAGUAGGAGUAAAUGUAGAUGCAAACCGUAGCUUUGCCUGAUUUCAACCAUGAUGCAGGUUAGCAACUAGCUUUUGCAAAAGAUAAAUCUGUGAAACUACUCCAGUAUGCAGACAAUGGAGCCUUUUUCUUUGCGGUGCACUCAAUUUGCAAUUCCUUUCUCAGACUAGGCUCUGCUACAAUUUUUCUGGAUUUUGUUUUGUGUUUCUUUAGAAUAAUUAACAGUUGUUUUAAGAGUUUUAAGUUAGAUUGAAAUGUUACUUUAAUGAACAUUGUUUAGCAGCGAAAUACUGUAUAAAUUAUGUGUCUGGAGAGAAGAAGGUUAGAUCAUGCUGCAAAAUACCAACUGGUUGAGUUCUCAUAAAUGUUAUCUGAUAUGCUAUGGAGUAUUUUCUUUU
rnacentral:misc_RNA from 1 species